UGGGGAAUAUUGGACAAUGGACCAAAAGUCUGAUCCAGCAAUUCUGUGUGCACGAUGACGGUCUUAGGAUUGUAAAGUGCUUUCAAUUGGGAAGAAAAAAAUGACGGUACCAAUAGAAGAAGCGACGGCUAAAUACGUGCCAGCAGCCGCGGUAAUACGUAUGUCGCAAGCGUUAUCCGGAUUUAUUGGGCGUAAAGCGCGUCUAGGUGGUUUGGUAAGUCUGAUGUGAAAAUGCGGGGCUCAACUCCGUAUUGCGUUGGAAACUACCUAACUAGAGUAUCGGAGAGGUGGGCGGAACUACAAGUGUAGAGGUGAAAUUCGUAGAUAUUUGUAGGAAUGCCGAUAGAGAAGUCAGCUCACUGGACGAAUACUGACACUGAAGCGCGAAAGCAUGGGGAGCAAACAGG
rnacentral:rRNA from 1 species